rnacentral:rRNA from 1 species
UACGAAGGGGGCUAGCGUUGUUCGGAUUUACUGGGCGUAAAGCGUGCGCAGGCGGUUGUGUAGACAGAUGUGAAAUCCCCGGGCUCAACCUGGGAACUGCAUUUGUGACUGCACAGCUGGAGUGCGGCAGAGGGGGAUGGAAUUCCGCGUGUAGCAGUGAAAUGCGUAGAUAUGCGGAGGAACACCGAUGGCGAAGGCAAUCCCCUGGGCCUGCACUGACGCUCAUGCACGAAAGCGUGGGGAGCAAACAGG